rnacentral:rRNA from 1 species
UUUGUAUAAUGGGUCAGCGACUUAUAUUCUGUAGCAAGGUUAACCGAAUAGGGGAGCCGGAGGGAAACCGAGUCUUAACCGGGCGUUAAGUUGCAGGGUAUAGACCCGAAACCCGGUGAUCUAGCCAUGGGCAGGUUGAAGGUUGGGUAACACUAACUGGAGGACCGAACCGACUAAUGUUGAAAAAUUAGCGGAUGACCUGUGGCUGGGGGUGAAAGGCCAAUCAAACCGGGAGAUAGCUGGUUCUCCCCGAAAGCUAUUUAGGUAGCGCCUCGUGAAUUCAUCUCCGGGGGUAGAGCACUGUUUCGGCUAGGGGGCCAUCCCGGCUUACCAACCCGAUGCAAACUGCGAAUACCGGAGAAUGUUAUCACGGGAGACACACGGCGGGUGCUAACGUCCGUCGUGAAGAGGGAAACAACCCAGACCGCCAGCUAAGGUCCCAAAGUCAUGGUUAAGUGGGAAACGAUGUGGGAAGGCCCAGACAGCCAGGAUGUUGGCUUAGAAGCAGCCAUCAUUUAAAGAAAGCGUAAUAGCUCACUGGUCGAGUCGGCCUGCGCGGAAGAUGUAACGGGGCUAAACCAUGCACCGAAGCUGCGGCAGCGACACUGUGUGUUGUUGGGUAGGGGAGCGUUCUGUAAGCCUGUGAAGGUGUGUCGUGAGGCAUGCUGGAGGUAUCAGAAGUGCGAAUGCUGACAUAAGUAACGAUAAAGCGGGUGAAAAGCCCGCUCGCCGGAAGACCAAGGGUUCCUGUCCAACGUUAAUCGGGGCAGGGUGAGUCGACCCCUAAGGCGAGGCCGAAAGGCGUAGUCGAUGGGAAACGGGUUAAUAUUCCCGUACUUGGUGUUACUGCGAAGGGGGGACGGAGAAGGCUAUGUUGGCCGGG